CCCCCUCCCUGUCCCCUUCCAUCCUCUUCCCGCUCGGUUCUCUUCCCCUCUCUCCCGAACUCUGUCCCCUCCUCCUCCCCGCAGCGCCGGGCAGGGAAGGGGCCCCAGGCGGAGGAGCGGACCCCUACCUCCCCAGAUUGCUGGAAGCUAUGGAACUUGGGGCCCCGGCCGCGCAGCCCGCUGCGUCCCGGAGCUUCUGGACCCAGAGUCUGUAAACACAGCCAGUGACAGUCGCCCAGCAGGUUAAAGGCGCGGAGUUGCGGAGUUGGAUUUCCAGGAGGCUCUUUUGGCAAAUUAAGCUUUUCACACGGGUGGCUCCUUCCUUAGGACCCGGGGAGAAUUCCUCGGAGCCUUGGGUAUGCAUACUCUGACUCCAAAAAGAUUUCCCGGAAUCAGCACAUCAGGCUGAUGGAUCUGUAAAGAAAUGCACUUGAACACCACGCCUGUCCUUUAUUCACAUCUUUAUCACAGACAGACUGAACUAAUCCAUGCUUGGGAUUUCUAAGCUUUAGAACCUGAGGCAAAUCAUUGCAAUUUCCCCCUUCUUCAUCUGUAGCCAAAUGCUUGCAAAGAAUUAAACCUCAUAGAUUCAUUAACUGAGCUUUUAUUGAGUGCCUGGGUGCCACGCCUAGCACAGGGCUAUUGGUACACAAGCACUUCAAGCAAGUAAAAACUUCAGCCCUUGAGUUCCAAUCACAGAAGGAGACAAACACAAAUAAUGAAGUGACAAUGCAACUGGCCAUUCACUUUGAACAGCUGUCAGUUGAGCAGAGGUCUGGUCUCAAACUCCAAAGCCUACUGAGAAGAGCCAGGGAAUAUAAAGGCGACGGGCUGGGACUGCAAAACGGGAGAAGACAGGCCUGCUCUGCAGGCAGAACCACCAUGAAGCAUGCACUGAUUGUUGAUAGGGAGGACCGUGUUACUACAUCUCCCAAUCUUCCAAGAGAAGCCGGAAAUCUGGAUUCUGGGAAAUCACCUCAUUUCUAAAUGAUGUCAGCUAGUUAAGACUUUUAAAAACACUUGUAGGACCAUCAAAACUCAUUUCGUGUACUGCCGUUGUGUAACUUCUGGUCUGCAGUGACCCAUGUGACCACAAUUAUUCAAAAGUGUGACAAGAACACAAGAAGUUUGAGAAACACUGCUUUGUAGCUACUAUCAAUAAAGGAAGUAUAAGUGCCAGGUAAUAUUCAAUCUUCAUGACAUGGAGAAAUAUUUAUAAUGGGCAUAAUAGGUGACGGUCUUAUUACUGUUUUGACUGUAAUAAUCUAUGUGAAUAAGUCAUCAGGAUACUGUACCUCAGUGUAUCCAUCAAAAAACAACAACAAAAACUUGGCUUUACCUUGGUAGCAAAAACCUAAAUUUUCCAAAACAAAGCAAAUAAAAUAGAAAUGGUGAGGGGAACCUG